rnacentral:rRNA from 1 species
GACGAACGCUGGCGGCGUGCUUAACACAUGCAAGUCGAACGGAAAGGCCCUGCUUUUGUGGGGUGCUCGAGUGGCGAACGGGUGAGUAACACGUGAGUAACCUGCCCUUGACUUUGGGAUAACUUCAGGAAACUGGGGCUAAUACCGGAUAGGAGCUCCUGCUGCAUGGUGGGGGUUGGAAAGUUUCGGCGGUUGGGGCUGGACUCGCGGCUUAUCAGCUUGUUGGUGGGGUAGUGGCUUACCAAGGCUUUGACGGGUAGCCGGCCUGAGAGGGUGACCGGCCACAUUGGGACUGAGAUACGGCCCAGACUCCUACGGGAGGCAGCAGUGGGGAAUAUUGCACAACGGGCGGAAGCCUGAUGCAGCAACGCCGCGGGCGGGAUGACGGCCUUCGGGUUGUAAACCGCUUUCGCCUGUGACGAAGCGUGAGUGACGGUAAUGGGUAAAGAAGCACCGGCUAACUACGUG